rnacentral:rRNA from 1 species
AUGAAGUUGCCUCCGUGUUCCACAAACGCCUCCAAGAAACUGCAUUUGAAGCUUAUCAUGAUAAUCUCCAUAAGCAGUGGAGUCCUAUUGCUUAUCGUCCUUUGUAGCAUUGUUUGCUUGCUGGUACAGCAGGAGGAGCAAGCCACACCAUAUGCUGAAUUAGCCAAUGCAACAAAUGGUUUUGCUUCUGAGAACCUCAUCGGAGUAGGAAGCUUCGGCUCGGUGUACAGGGGAAGACUGGCGAUCCACGACCAGCAGGUCAUUGUUGCUGUCAAAGUGUUCAAUCUGCAACAACGUUGUGCAUCUCAAAGUUUUCUUGCAGAAUGCAAGACCCUGAGAUGUGCUCGGCAUCAAAACCUUGUGAAGAUCUUGACAGUCUGUUCAAGUAUGGAUUUCCAGAGCCAGGAUUUCAAAGCUCUUGUGUUUGAAUUUCUACCGAAUGGAAAUUUGGACCAAUGGAUACAUGAGCCUGCUGAGGAAAAUGAUCAAGACAAGGCGCUAAAUCUCAUCGGAAGGCUCAGCAUCGCCAUCGAUGUGGCAUCUGCACUUGAUUAUUUUCACCAACACAUGCCAUUGCCAAUUAUUCACUGUGAUCUCAAGCCAAGCAACACUCUCCUUGAUAGUGACAUUGUUGCUCAUGCUGGUGAUUUUGGGCUUGCAAGAGCCCUGCCUAAAGACCCAAGCGGCUGUUUAGAGAAAUCAAGUGGCUGGGCUACAAUGAGAGGAACAAUAGGCUAUGCUGCUCCAGAGUACGGUUUGGGCAACAAAGUUCAAAUCCUAGGUGAUGUGUACAGCUAUGGGGUACUGUUGCUGGAGAUGUUUACUGGCAAAAGACCAACAGGCGGGGAGUUUGGAGAAGCUCUAGGCCUUCACAAGCAUGUCCAAAUGGCACUUCGAGUUCCAGACAGAACCACCAGUUGUUAUCAGAGGACAAAGAUGGAAGAGAAGCAAACACCUCAAACCCUGGCAGGAAAAGAGAUAAUAUCAAUUGCUUGCAUCACUUCAAUUCUGGACAUUGGAGUUUCAUGCUCAAAGGAAACUCCAAUAGACCGCAUGCAAAUUAGAGAUGCUUUGAAAGAGUUGAUGAAGAUAAAAGACAAGUUCCUCAUGCAUCUUUCCAGUAUGCAAGUGUCAAGUAACUGA